AUGCUUAAAGAUCACCUGCUCCCAGAUCUCAGCUACAGCUGUGGCCAGCCCUGUUCUUCCAUCUCUAGCAGGCAAACAGCUCCAAUUCCUGUCUCUCUACCUCAUAAGACAAAUAAGGCAAAGACCUGGGAGCAGCAGAUACAGAUGCCCAUACUGGAACAGGUCCCACGCGUUUUCUUUGGCAGCGGUCUGCCUGCCUGCCUGCGACUGCCCCAGCUCCUUGUGCUACUGACUGAGCCUAAAAAAAUCCCAGGACUUUGGUGGGAGAGCUUCGGGGCCAAGUCCUGCCCUUCUGCUAAUAGGUCUCUCAGCCUGUGAGUGGCCCCGCUGAAAUCAGUGAAAUCCCUAAGGAUGCCACUGUAUUGACAGAAUUAGCUGUUCCUUAGACACAUAUUAAACGUGAACAAGCAGCUUAAGAAAUGCCCUUGCUCCUAGAAACUGGGAAGUGCCAAAGGAAAGGCUGCUUUUUACUCUUUUCCUAAGCAUUUACUCUCGGCAGAGCGAGCAGCAGGCUCGAGGGCAGACGGGCCAUCGGUCUGCCCGGGGCAGCGGUUCUUACGGCCCACGUUUGAUAGUAGCAGGCAGAGUUGGGCGGCUGCAAAUCCUGCAAGAGAGGUUUUAGUCAGAAGGGGCGAUUCGAAACCCAUCUCCUAACGCAAGCCAACGGAGAACGUCCGUCAGUGCCUGAGCUCACCUUUCUGCCUCUCCAUCAUCUGUGCUAAUGAAGAACGUUUUCGGAGACGCCAGCCAUGGAUGACGUUAAGCAAAAAAACCCUCGCCGUUACCAGAAAUCUUGCCAGCGAACAAAAGAACGACGCUACUGCAGCCCCUCUGUAUCUGCAAACUCACCAUUUCACCGUGCCCAGCUGUACAGCCGUAGAGCACGUCUUCCUCCUAAAGACGGGCAAAGCCCGACCGAAGCCCAGGGCAGAAAACCGGCAUUUGCAGACUUGUCUAAGGCAGUGGUGGUGCAGUCAUUUUAAUUAGAUGCAUGUCUGCGCUGCUGCCAGAAGAGAUGUCCUGCCCUCCUGACCACCCCCAGCUACUUGUCCCCUGCCUUGUCCCAGGGCUGCUGUUCCCAUGGCCACAAGGUGAGGAACUAAACGGGGUUUUCGGCAAGAUCAGUGCGGGCCCAUGCCGGGCUAUGGGGGAAGCGGCAGCCUGGGCUCGCGUGAGGCGGCGGCGCAGUCUGAGGGACGACGUGCUCGUUCAUGUCACUGCUGGACACCAGGGCUGGCCGCCUUUGGUUGACGUGACAACUUUUGAGCAGCUGAAGCAGUGAAGAUGCCCUCCAGAUCCUCUUCCCCCUCCAGGCUCA
rnacentral:lncRNA from 1 species